rnacentral:rRNA from 1 species
CCCUUAGACGUUCUGGGCCGCACGCGCGCUACACUGACCAGUGCAACAAGCAUCCGUCCUUGGCCGACAGGCCCGGGCAAUCUUUGAACGCUGGUCGUGAUGGGGAUAGACUUUUGCAAUUUUUGGUCUUCAACGAGGAAUUCCUAGUAAACGCAAGUCAUCAACUUGCAUUGAUUACGUCCCUGCCCUUUGUACACACCGCCCGUCGCACCUACCGAUUGAAUGGUCCGGUGAAGCCUCCGGAUUGGCGCGCACCUAGGUGCCGCCGAGAAGUUGGCUAAACCUUACCAUUUAGAGGAAGGUGAAGUCGUAACA